GGAAGAUGUAGGUCACAGCUGAGCUGCCUCUGCCUUAGCUUGGGCAAAUGCUCUAGCAACUCUUCUAGACGGCAAAUGCUGUUUCCAGUGAGAGAACAGCGUUUCCCAGCCAAAUCAUCCUUGGACUAACUACCUGUGAUCUAUAGCACAGACCAUAGCUGUGAAGAAAACGGGUAAGGUACCCAACUAGACGCCUAUCUGGACACAAUAGUCAACAGGAUGGAUACAGGGCGUUCUCUCCUGGAGAUGCCAGUCAGUUCAUGGAGUUGACUUGACUUGCCACAGGAGCAUGGAGGAUGGAUCACCUGCACCCUCCUCCCUCCCAUCCUCUUUGCCUCUUUAUGAGAUGCCUCUUUAUGGGAUAGCUCACAAGGUGAACAGCAACUAUCUAAUAAUCCAACUGGUGUCCCCUCUCCAAUAAGGGUUAUAACAAUCUCAUGUGGAUAUGAGAUCCUUACAGGGUAAGAAAUUUCCUCCAGUCUCAUUGUCAGUAGCCAUUUUUACUCCUGAAGCUAUGUACUUGGAGUGCCUGGACCAAGAUGGAGUAAACAAGCAAAUAGGUCCCUGAGUCCUGUGGGCACUCUGGUACUCCUAGCAGAGUGAAGGCUGUUCUGGAGCUAUUAGCAGCAUCACAAGCCACUGCUCACAACCUGGAAGGAGAAUUCCCAUACCCAACCACUGUGUGUCCCAGCGUGUGAUAUCCAUCCACAAGGAGUUCAUUCAAACUGGUCUGUUGAACAAUAAAAUAUCCCAUCAAACACAUUGUCACUGUAUAGCAACAUCCACCACAAACUGAAAUGCUCUCUGGCAACGACACGUGGUUCCAUCCUAACUUUUGAAAUGUAAGAAUGGGCACCACAGAAGAGGGUGGUACCAAGAGCCCAGCUGAGGGUCCUGCACCCCAUCAAGUCACUUCCCAAUCAGUCACCUGCUUACUUUGUGACUUUUCUGGGCCUCUGAUCCCAGUCUCAGUGAGUGCUGUCGACUAGAAUGCAAGCUCCACAAAGGCACAGAUUUUUGUCUGUUAUGUUUGCUGCUGUGUUCCCAGUGUCUAGAGCAGUAUAUGGCAUGCAGAAAGGCCUUGAAAAAUAUUUGACGAGUAGGCGAAUAAAUGGGAGCCCCUAAAAAGCAGUACCCUUGAGCCAGUACUUGCAAGCAGUACUUGGUGAGCAGUCAUAAAGAAUGUGUUAAGUGAAUGAAUACAUUUCCAAAGUUAAAAUGCCCAAACAAACCAAUCCCUUUGAGAGUGGUUGAGUCUCUUCUGUGUUCCUCUGAGUGGAUCAGGGCUUGUAGCAUCAUCCUAAGCAACAUUCCCUAAGUUUUCCUGCAAGGAGCCACAGUGGAGGAAGACUCCAGAUUACAUGACUAAUCUGGGAGGGAUAUUAAGAUGUUACCUGUGGGUCACCAGGACACAUUCUCAUCACCACU
rnacentral:lncRNA from 1 species